rnacentral:lncRNA from 1 species
AUCCGUCAACUGGCCAAACCAGGUCAAAUUGUAAAUUUAUAAAUUCUUUCAAAUUCCCCAAAUUUCCAAUUCAAUUUUGAUCAAAAUCAUUCAGUUUUACCCCAUUUCGCACAUAGACAGUACCUACGCGCUCCUCAAUUCCUUAAUCCUCAAGAAUUCCGUUUGAACUUUGAAAAUUUUCCCCAAUUCUUAUGGUCAGAUUUCCCCUCAUUUGAACCCUAGUAAUCAGACAAAACAUAAAAGAUGAGGUACCAGUUGCAGAGGAGGAAAUUUUCAGCUGAAAGGUGAAUUUCCAAAGAAGCUAAUCCUCCACCAAUGCCUUAUUCAGGUAACCAUGCCCAGACUGGGAUCUGAAAACAAAUCAGAUAAAUCGUUGUGGUUUUUUUUUUCUCUCUCUCUCUUUUUUUGUGGUAAGUCUUGUUUGUUUACCCUAGGAUUGCUUACAGUUAAGAUCAAGACAACAAGACAUCAACUAUCCAAGACUAUAUAUUUUCUCUCCCUCUGCCGUUGGUAACUUCACUUUUAGGCAAACUAUCAUUACAACAACAAACCCAUUGUGAUACCACAAGGUGGGUCGGGAAACUAUCUAUCAGUACAUGAGCAGAAAAAAAUGAUGAUGAUCAGUUUUGUCUAAAUAGCUCAUUUAAGCAAUUUUGCUUUUCCAUUGGUUAUUGUCUUUCUAGAAUCUUACAAUGCAAACCUCCCACUGUGAUACCACAAGGUGGGUCGGGAAACUAUCUAUCAGUACAUGAGC